GUAGAUAUGUUUAGAGAUUUCUAUGGUUCUAUUUAUUAGUGGUUAUAGUUCCAUUUAUAGAUGAUAGUGUUCUGUUUAUAUGGGCAUAUAUUGAUAUAUCUGUAUAGUUAAAUGUGAAUAUGUAUACAGUUAGAGAAGUGAUAUAAUAAUAUUUUAUUAUAAAUUUACAUUUAUAGAUUUUCAGAGUUAGAUAGAUUGCUGUUUGUGUAGGCCUAGGCUGCAUUUGUACCUCUUUCCCCCUCGGCUGCCUUUUUCACCUCUUGCUUUUCCCCCGGUGCCCCCUGUGUCCCCUGUCCCUGUGCUGGGUCCGAGCUGGCGGCCGGGCCGGGCGGAGCAGCACUUCCAGCCCCGGCUGUCCCUGGAGUGGUGGGAGCUGCCGCUGGCCCCAGGCACUGUCCCCUGAGGAGCUGCUGAAGGACGCUGCAAGGAAGACCUUGAGGACAGCCGGAGACUGAGGGAAGGCAGCAGGGAGGAGCUGAAGGCCAGCAGCAAGAGCAGUGAACGGGGACCUGCUGCUGCCAGCCUGGAGAGAGCCCGGAUGUCCCAUCUGCUGUCGCUGUCCAGGAGAGCUGCUCUGCACGGGAGGAGGAGACCGAGGGAGAGGCUUUGAAGGUGGGGCAGCUGGGAUCCCUCUGCUUGGAGUGCUGUUUACAGAUACACGGACUUGAACGUAGACAGGGUUUAUUAUAUGUGUAUUUCCAUAUGUGGGUUGUUAU